GUGGGGAAUAUUGGACAAUGGGCGAAAGCCUGAUCCAGCCAUGCCGCGUGUGUGAAGAAGGUCUUCGGAUUGUAAAGCACUUUAAGUUGGGAGGAAGGGCAGUAAGUUAAUACCUUGCUGUUUUGACGUUACCGACAGAAUAAGCACCGGCUAACUUCGUGCCAGCAGCCGCGGUAAUACGAAGGGUGCAAGCGUUAAUCGGAAUUACUGGGCGUAAAGCGCGCGUAGGUGGUUUUGUAAGUUGGAGGUGAAAUCCCCGGGCUCAACCCGGGAACUGCCUCCAAAACUGCAUGACUAGAGUACGGUAGAGGGUAGUGGAAUUUCCUGUGUAGCGGUGAAAUGCGUAGAUAUAGGAAGGAACACCAGUGGCGAAGGCGACUACCUGGACUGAUACUGACACUGAGGUGCGAAAGCGUGGGGAGCAAACAGGAUUAGAAACCCUAGUAGUCC
rnacentral:rRNA from 1 species